GUGACGUACUGUGUGGUUUUAGUAAUUUAUGGUUCUAAAUUAUGAAUUUAAUUUUGAACAUUCUAAACGAAAUGGCAUUUAAUGGUGAUUUCACAGGUAAAUUUCGAAGAAUUCAUUUAAUUAUCAUUGGCUAUAUUAAAUUGAUUACAAACGUAUAAAUAAAUGUACAAACAAAAGUUAUUAAAUAGUUACACGUUACUAGAUUUUAUAAUAAAUGCUAACUGGUGUUUCAAUUUAUUGAAAUAAGUAUUUAAAACGUUCAAUAUAAUGUUGUAAUAAAUGUUUGAAUUGCGCAUAGUUCUUCAUUUUUUUUUAAAAAAAAAAAUUUCGUUUCGUUUGUUUAAUGAAUACUCAGUGUUAUCAAAAGAUUCCGAUUAUGUAAACCAACUUGUUAAAUUUAUUUUAUCAAAAAUUAAAAAUACGGAAAAUAUUUCAGUAGAUUUUGAAAAUGAUUUAAAGCUUAAGGUCCAAACUUUUUGUGAUGAAGUAUCUAUUAGAUGGAAAAAUGUAAGAGACCAUAAAGAUAAACUUGAAAUUCAAUGUAGCGAAUGGUUAAAAAAAAUAUUUGUAUUGCCUCAACGGUCGCUCAACAGUGGGCUGAAAUUAUAAAAAAAUUGGAAAAAAUUGAAUUACAAUAAAAAUCUUAUGAAAUCUAUUAUAUAUUUAAUAUAACACAAAGAAAAUUAAAUUUUCAAAGUUUUAAUUACAAAUAACUACUUAGCAAUAUAUUAUUUAAUGUUAAUUGUUGUGCAUCAUUAACUAUGUCAUUCUGAUGUAGAAGUACCAUCUACAUCAGAAUAAGAAAAAUUUUCUGUUUCAGAAUCACUUUACUAAACGACGCCGGUUGUAGGCAAUGGUUUUCGGUAUUCCAGAUGCGGACAUGCGGGUAUAAUGACAAACGGAACAGCAUUAUUGAUAUCUUUUCCGAAAAUAACAAACAACUGUUAUAAUUUUAGAAAAUACCCAUAUUCGGAUGUUCCUAAUAUGUACAGACUGUCAAACCAAUGCACCACCAACAGUGAUU